rnacentral:rRNA from 1 species
UACGGGGGGGGCAAGCGUUGUUCGGAAUUACUGGGCGUAAAGGGCUCGUAGGCGGCCAACUAAGUCGGAUGUGAAAUCCCCAGGCUCAACCUGGGAACUGCAUCCGAUACUGGAUGGCUUGAAUUCGGGAGAGGGAUGCAGAAUUCCAGGUGUAGCGGUGAAAUGCGUAGAUAUCUGGAGGAAUACCGGUGGCGAAGGCGACAUCCUGGACCGACAUUGACGCUGAGGAGCGAAAGCCAGGGGAGCAAACGGG